rnacentral:misc_RNA from 1 species
UAAAAAUGACCGUAAGUUCAGGGGUGAGUAUGAUGACUUCUCAAGUUCAAAAAGCAGGAAGCUUUCUGAUGAUGGAAGUCGGGCUGUAUACACAGUAGAUCACAGUCUGCGGCGUUCUACUGAGAAGUUGCACAAGAAUGCUCCUUCUAAUAGGAAUAUUCCACCUGACAGGUAUUCUUCCAGGCAUUAUGAGACAUCUAAAGUUCCUUAUGACAGACUUAAUAGCAGUCCUCGUCAUUUGGAGAGGUCCCCACGUGACCGGGCCCGCCAUCUUGAUAACUGGGAUCGAAGCCCAGCCCGCCGUGAGAAGUCUCCCUAUGAUCGAG